UUGUAUGACUCUCGGCAAUGGAUAUCUUGGCUCUUGCAUCGAUGAAGAGCGCAGCGAAAUGCGAUACGUGGUGUGAAUUGCAGAAUUCCGUGAACCAUCGAAUUUUUGAACGCAAGUUGCGCCCGAGGCCAAUUGGCUAAGGGCACGUCCGCCU
rnacentral:rRNA from 8 species